rnacentral:rRNA from 1 species
GACGAACGCUGGCGGCGUGCCUAAUACAUGCAAGUCGAGCGAGCUUGCCUAGAUGAUUUUAGUGCUUGCACUAAAUGAAACUAGAUACAAGCGAGCGGCGGACGGGUGAGUAACACGUGGGUAACCUGCCCAAGAGACUGGGAUAACACCUGGAAACAGAUGCUAAUACCGGAUAACAACACUAGACGCAUGUCUAGAGUUUGAAAGAUGGUUCUGCUAUCACUCUUGGAUGGACCUGCGGUGCAGUAGCUAGUUGGUAAGGUAACGGCUUACCAAGGCAAUGAUGCAUAGCCGAGUUGAGAGACUGAUCGGCCACAUUGGGACUGAGACACGGACCAG